rnacentral:rRNA from 1 species
GACGAACGCUGGCGGCGUGCUUAACACAUGCAAGUCGAACGAAAAGGCCCUGCUUUUGUGGGGUGCUCGAGUGGCGCACGGGUGAGUAACACGUGAGUAACCUGCCCUUGACUUUGGGAUAACUUCAGGAAACUGGGGCUAAUACCGGAUAUGAGCUCCUGCUGCAUGGUGGGGGUUGGAAAGUUUCGGCGGUUGGGGAUGGACUCGCGGCUUAUCAGCUGGUUUGUGGGGUAGGGGCUUACCAAGGCUUUGACGGGUAGCCGGCCUGAGAGGGUGACCGGCCACAAUGGGACUGAGAGACGGCCCAGACUCCUACGGGAGGCAGCAGUGGGGAAUAUUGCACAAUGGGCGGAAGCCUGAUGAAGCAACGCCGGGUGCGGGAUGCCGGCCUACGGGUUGUAAACCGCUUUCGCCGGUGACGAAGCGUGAGUGACGGUAAUGGGUAAAGAAGCACCGGCUAACUACGUG